GACUGUAGGGACCUAAGAUGCUGAAGGCACCAAAUCCUGUCUGAUCUUGGAACCUAAAAGAGUAAUUUCUGGUAAGUACUUAGAUGGGAGACCAUCAACGAAUGCAAGGUGCUAUAGGCC
rnacentral:rRNA from 1 species